rnacentral:rRNA from 1 species
CCAGACUCCUACGGGAGGCAGCAGUGAGGAAUAUUGGUCAAUGGGCGCAAGCCUGAACCAGCCAAGUCGCGUGAGGGAAGACGGUCCUAUGGAUUGUAAACCUCUUUUGUCGGGGAGCAAAGCGCGGUACGAGUACCGCGAAGGAGAGUACCCGAAGAAAAAGCAUCGGCUAACUCCGUGCCAGCAGCCGCGGUAAUACGGAGGAUGCGAGCGUUAUCCGGAUUUAUUGGGUUUAAAGGGUGCGUAGGCGGGCUGUUAAGUCAGCGGUCAAAUGUCGGGGCUCAACCCCGGCCGGCCGUUGAAACUGGUUUUCUAGAGUUGGAGAGAAGUAUGCGGAAUUCGUGGUGUAGCGGUGAAAUGCAUAGAUAUCACGAAGAACUCCGAUUGCGAAGGCAGCAUACCGGCUCCAUACUGACGCUGAGGCACGAAAGCGUGGGGAUCGAACAGGAUUAGAUACCCCCGUAUC